CCGGCGCACGGGUGAGUAACACGUAUGCAACCUGCCCUCUUCAGGGGGACAACCUUCCGAAAGGGAUUCUAAUCCCGCGUAUAUCGGUUUCGGGCAUCCGAGAUCGAGGAAAGAUUCAUCGGAAGAGGAUGGGCAUGCGGCGCAUUAGCUAGACGGCGGGGUAACGGCCCACCGUGGCGACGAUGCGUAGGGGUUCUGAGAGGAAGGUCCCCCACACUGGUACUGAGACACGGACCAGACUCCUACGGGAGGCAGCAGUGAGGAAUAUUGGUCAAUGGGAGAAAUCCUGAACUUUUUAAGCCGCGUGAGGGAAGACGGCCCUAUGGGUUGUAAACCUCUUUUGUCGGAGAACUUAACCCGGGACGUGUCCCGGACUGCGUGUAUCCGAAGAAAAAGCAUCGGCUAACUCCGUGCCAGCAGCCGCGGUAAUACGGAGGAUGCGAGCGUUAUCCGGAUUUAUUGGGUUUAAAGGGUGCGUAGGCGGUCUGUUAAGUCAGCGGUAAAAUUGCGGGGCUCAACCCCGUCGAGCCGUUGAAACUGGCAGACUUGAGUUGGCGAGAAGUACGCGGAAUGCGCGGUGUAGCGGUGAAAUGCAUAGAUAUCGCGCAGAACUCCGAUUGCGAAGGCAGCGUACCGGCGCCAGACUGACGCUGAGGCACGAAAGCGUGGGGAUCGAACAGGAUUAGAUACCCUGGUAGUCCACGCAGUAAACGAUGAAUGCUGGUUGUCCGGGUCGAAUGAGAUCUGGGCGGCGAAGCGAAAGCGAUAAGCAUUCCACCUGGGGAGUACGCCGGCAACGGUGAAACUCAAAGGAAUUGACGGGGGCCCGCACAAGCGGAGGAACAUGUGGUUUAAUUCGAUGUUACGCGAGGAACCUUACCCGGGCUCAAACGGGAGUGGAAUGGACCAGAGACGGUUCAGCCUACGGGCCGCUUCCGAGGUGCUGCAUGGUUGUCGUCAGCUCGUGCCGUGAGGUGUCGGCUUAAGUGCCAUAACGAGCGCAACCCCCGCCGGCAGUUGCUAACGGGCAAUGCCGAGGACUCUGCCGGGACUGCCGCCGCAAGGCGUGAGGAAGGCGGGGAUGACGUCAAAUCAGCACGGCCCUUACGUCCGGGGCGACACACGUGUUACAAUGGGGGGUACAGCGGGAAGCCAGGCGGCGACGCCGAGCGGAACCCGAAAGCCGUUCUCAGUUCGGAUCGGAGUUUGCAGCCCGACUCCGUGAAGCUGGAUUCGCUAGUAAU
rnacentral:rRNA from 1 species